AUUGAGAGCUUUUUCUUUCACUUUUUUUUUUGCUUGUUUUCAUAAACCAAAUAUCAGAGAAUAGAUCUAAACCUUUUCUCUCCCAAAAUUCUCUCUAAAAUCUCUCGAAAUAAUUUUCAAAGUUGGGCAAAAAGUCAUCUGAAUUUCUUUAAGCAUUUUGAUUCAAACUUCCAAAUCAAUGAUUUGAGUUCAACUGAAGCUCCACAUCAAGAGGAGGAACAUGCAAAUCAAAAUUGAAGCUCAAACUUGCUUGUUUGAACAUAUAUUUGCUUAAAGAGCUAAGUGUGGAGAGAAUUUCCAGGCGUAAGGAGUCGAGAAGCGAGUGCAAGGGCGAUCCAAGAAUAAGGCUCGGUAAUAGCCUAAGAAAUUUACUUUAGAGACUAUAUAGGGGCAUUGUGAUGCUUUUGGGACUAGUGUUAUUUUACUUGUAAUGGACAUUGGAUAUUAAAUUUUAGACAUUAAUUUUGGUGAUUUUAUAA